GCGAAGAACCUUACCAGGCCUUGACAUCCUGCGAACUUUCUAGAGAUAGAUUGGUGCCUUCGGAGCGCAGUGACAGGUGCUGCAUGGCUGUCGUCAGCUCGUGUCGUGAGGAUGUUGGGUUAAGUCCCGUAACGAGCGCAACCCUUGUCCUUAGUUGCCAGCGCGUAAUGCGGGAACUCUAAGGAGACUGCCGGUGACAAACCGGAGGAAGGUGGGGAUGACGUCAAGUCAUCAUGGCCCUUACGGCCUGGGCUACACACGUGCUACAAUGGCCGGUACAGAGGGUUGCCAACCCGCGAGGGGGAGCUAAUCCCAGAAAACCGGUCGUAGUCCGGAUCGGAGUCUGCAACUCGACUCCGUGAAGUCGGAAUCGCUAGUAAUCGCGAAUCAGAAUGUCGCGGUGAAUACGUUCCCGGGCCUU
rnacentral:rRNA from 1 species